rnacentral:lncRNA from 1 species
ACAUUGAGCAGAAAAUUUUCUCCUCUACAAUCAACCCUGCAAGCCUUCCUUGCAAUAGCCUAUGUGCCUCAAGGGACCCUGGUGACUGCCAUGGGUGGAGUGGUAUAGUUUGGUAUGGUAUCACGCCAUGCAUACACGUUCAAGGUGGGAGGAAAGAAGAAAGAGGGAGAAACAUGAGAAGGGCAAGAUUCAAAGGAGUCUCCAAAGGCUGAUUAUUCUGGUGUUAAGAACACGGGUUUUGGACUCAGGCGGCCCCUGGUUCUCGUGUUAGCAUUAUUCUCUCUGAACCUCAGCACUGUCCUCUGUGAAGUAUCUGGUGAGGAUCUGACCAAACCAUAACGAACCUUGCACAGAACCUGGUGGAAAUCACAAUAAGUGCUCACGUUGCCAGUGGCAACCUUGUGGCAGGGGGCGCUGCUCUAAGUACUUUAUAUAUACUUACUCAUUUAAAUAUUACGAAAAUACGCUACAGGCUGGGUAUUAUUGCUAUCUCCAUUUUACAGAGAAGGAAACUGAGACACAGGCUUUGUGACUUGCCCAAGAACACGCAGCUAGCAAGUGGAAGAGCGGGGACUCCCCCUGGAGCCCAUGUUUUUAACCACAAGGCCGUCUGGCUUCCUGGACACUGUGCUCAGUGGCAAAGAACCAUUACGUGAUUAAAAAAAAUAAACACUCCCCUGUUUACUUCGAAGUACAUCAGAAAUUACCAAGAUAUGGUUGACUAUGGAUUCCUUUGGGAAGGAAUGUGAAGA